rnacentral:rRNA from 1 species
GGAGUCCAACGUGCGCGCGAGUCAAUGGGCGCAUUUAAUAAACCCAAAGGCGAAGCGAAAGCGAAUGACGAGUUGCGCGUUUCGGCGCGCCGCUCGUCGAUUGGGAAGAUGGGCGAUCUCUUUUUUUUUUAAAGAUUACCCCGCACUCCCGGGGCGUCUCGCUUCGGUAUCGGAGCGUUGUCGUCGAUGCGAUUUCGGUCGUGUCGCGCCCUUCGGUACCGGAGACGCACCUCUAGCGCGCACGCUGGGACCCGAAAGAUGGUGAACUAUGCCUGGUCAGGACGAAGUCAGGGGAAACCCUGAUGGAGGUCCGCAGCGAUUCUGACGUGCAAAUCGAUCGUCAGAACUGGGUAUAGGGGCGAAAGACCAAUCGAACCGUCUAGUAGCUGGUUCCCUCCGAAGUUUCCCUCAGGAUAGCUGGCGCUCGCAUCGAGAGAGUCUCAUGCGGUAAAGCGAAUGAUUAGAGCGAAUCGGGGUCGAAACGACCUCUACCUAUUCUCAAACUUUAAAUGUGUGAGAUCUCCGGCUUGCCCGAUUAACGAAGCCGCGAGAUCGGAUCUAGAGUGCCAAGUGGGCCAAUUUUGGUAAGCAGAACUGGCGCUGUGGGAUGAACCAAACGUAAAGUUAAAGCGCCCAAAUCGACGCUCAUGGGAAACCAUGAAAGGCGUUGGUAACUCAGGACAGCAGGACGGU